GGGGGGGUUGAAAAAAAAAAAAAGUUUACGUUGUGUGGGAACUUCGUUCCCCGCGCAGGCGAGCAGACACUGACUGUUAUGAAAGACUAUAGCUGUGUUCCUGUUCUCCACCAAGAGAUAAAAAACGAUAGAACUUCUUUCUUGGGCCGGCUGGGGCAUUUACAUGAGCGCCUGGCUGGACGCAAAACAGGUUAAACCAGGUCCUCCAGCCCCUGGCCCACGUCCCUCUGGCAUCGCGGAGGAGAUCCUGCCCCAGAAUACCUGCAUCCGCCCCCAGUGAGCCUGCAUCAUUCCACACCUCCCCUACCCCCACCGCAGUCUCCCCGGAUCAGUCCAGGACAAAGAGGUGAGUGCGGGGGGGGGGGGGGGGGGCGGAGAGGGUGGCUGGUCAAGGGCGGAGGACAGCUGCAGAGGCCCCAGACCUCCCUGCCACGUUCUGAGGCUAAGCCAAAAUUCCUAAGAUUUUGACAUGUGUUGAGUCAACAUGCCCUUACCUCAGCUGACUGGGGAUUGGAACCCAGGCCCAGGUGGGGGCCGCUGAGGUCAUAGGAUUAUACAGAACCACAUAAUUCUGUAAGUUUUAGGUCCUGGGGGAGUUUCUCAAAUUAUAAUAUUACAAGCUUUUGGAACCCCAGGGUUUCAAAAUCUGGGAUGUCUGAUCUGAAUUUCUUGAGUUCCAGGAGGCUGAGAAUCUAGACCAUGGGUCAAUAAGCUUUUUUCUUUCUUUUUUUCUUUUUUAAGCUUUUUUCUGUAAAAGGCCAAAAAGUUAAUAUUUUCAGCUUUGCAGCCCAGGGACUACUCAGCCUCAAGCAGUCUGUACACAAACAGCUGGGCGCCAAUAAAACUCUGUCCAAACAUGGAAAUUUGGAUAUUAUAUGAUUUCCAUGUGUCAUAGAAUAGUAUUCUUCUUUUGAUUCUUUAAAAACCUCUUAAAAAUGUAAACACCAUUCUUAGCUCGUGGGCUAUACCGGAAAAAAAAAAAAUAGCAUCUGAAUUUGACCCACAGUCCAGAACAGCGUUGGGCAGUAGAAAAAUAAGACAAACCAUACACAGAAUUUUAAAUGUUGGCUCAUGUUAAAGAACUAAAAGAGAAUUGUUUUGGUCAUAUAUUUCACUUCACUUGAUAUCUGGGAAAUAUGAUCAUUGCAACAGGUAAUCGAUAUGAAAAAUGAUGUAUGAGGUAUUUCACACCUGUUUCUGUCCCGUGUCUGAAAUCUGGCCUGUUUCCCGACACUGACGUUUCCUCGGAGACACUCAUAUGUAGCCCGACUGCGUAAAACUGACGCUGAAAAGGAAAACGC
rnacentral:lncRNA from 1 species